CUACGGGACGCACCAGUGGGGAAUAUUGGGCAAUGGGCGCAAGCCUGACCCAGCAACGCCGCGUGAGGGAAGAAGGCUUUCGGAUUGUAAACCUCUGUCCUUGGGGACGAAGAAGUGACGGUACCCAAGGAGGAAGCUCCGGCUAACUACGUGCCAGCAGCCGCGGUAAUACGUAGGGAGCAAGCGUUGUCCGGAAUUACUGGGCGUAAAGGGUGCGUAGGCGGCAUAUUAAGUCAGGUGUGAAAUACUCGGGCUCAACCCGGGGGCUGCAUUUGAAACUGAUAUGCUUGAGUGUGAGAGAGGAAAGUGGAAUUCCUAGUGUAGCGGUGGAAUGCGUAGAUAUUAGGAGGAACACCAGUGGCGAAGGCGACUUUCUGGCUCAUAACUGACGCUGAGGCACGAAAGCGUGGGGAGCAAACAGGAUUAGAUACCCGCGUAGUC
rnacentral:rRNA from 1 species